rnacentral:rRNA from 1 species
CUUCGGGAACUGUGAGACAGGUGCUGCAUGGCUGUCGUCAGCUCGUGUUGUGAGAUGUUGGGUUAAGUCCCGCAACGAGCGCAACCCUUAUCCUUUGUUGCCAGCGGUCCGGCCGGGAACUCAAAGGAGACUGCCAGUGAUAAACUGGAGGAAGGUGGGGAUGACGUCAAGUCAUCAUGGCCCUUACGACCAGGGCUACACACGUGCUACAAUGGCGCAUACAAAGAGAAGCGACCUCGCGAGAGCAAGCGGACCUCAUAAAGUGCGUCGUAGUCCGGAUUGGAGUCUGCAACUCGACUCCAUGAAGUCGGAAUCGCUAGUAAUCGUGGAUCAGAAUGCCACGGUGAAUACGUUCCCGGGUCUUGUACACACCG